UUGGAGUGUGAAAUAUACUAAGUGUAGUGUCAUUCAUAUUCUAGGAUCGGGGGACGAGUCUCCACCUCAAGGUUGAGAAGGAGGCGUUUCGCUUUUGUCUUUUGGAUCUCUAAGGUAAUUGAAGUAGAGUUUUGGUCCACUACUGGUCUGACAGGCUGUAGGAACAAGGACGAGGGUUGACUUGGUGUCCUCUUGGCAUAGUUCAUAUUUUGACAUAAUUUUUU